rnacentral:rRNA from 1 species
GCAAGUCGAACGAACCUUCGGGUUAGUGGCGGACGGGUGAGUAACGCGUGAGGAUCUGCCUAUAGGACGGGGACAACAGUGGGAAACUGCUGCUAAGACCCGAUGUGCCGAGAGGUGAAAUAUUUAUAGCCUGUAGAUGAGCUCGCGUCUGAUUAGCUAGUUGGUGUGGUAAGGGCAUACCAAGGCGACGAUCAGUAGCUGUUCUGAGAGGAAGAUC